GAGCGAAGUUUUUCUGGUGCUUGCACCGGAAAAACUUAGCGGCGAACGGGUGAGUAACACGUAAAGAACCUGCCUCAUAGACUGGGACAACUAUUGGAAACGAUAGCUAAUACCGGAUAACAGCAUUAACUGCAUGGUCGAUGUUUAAAAGUUGGUUUUGCUAACACUAUGAGAUGGCUUUGCGGUGCAUUAGCUAGUUGGUGGGGUAAAGGCCUACCAAGGCGACGAUGCAUAGCCGACCUGAGAGGGUGAUCGGCCACACUGGGACUGAGACACGGCCCAGACUCCUACGGGAGGCAGCAGUAGGGAAUCUUCCGCAAUGGGCGAAAGCCUGACGGAGCAACGCCGCGUGAGUGAAGAAGGAUUUCGGUUCGUAAAGCUCUGUUGUUAGGGAAGAAUGAUUGUGUAGUAACUAUACACAGUAGAGACGGUACCUAACCAGAAAGCCACGGCUAACUACGUGCCAGCAGCCGCGGUAAUACGUAGGUGGCAAGCGUUGUCCGGAAUUAUUGGGCGUAAAGCGCGCGCAGGUGGUUUAAUAAGUCUGAUGUGAAAGC
rnacentral:rRNA from 1 species